GAUGAACGCUGGCGGCGUGCUUAACACAUGCAAGUCGAACGGAAAGGCUCCUGCUUGCAGGGGUACUCGAGUGGCGAACGGGUGAGUAACACGUGGGUGAUCUACCCUGCACUUCGGGAUAAGCCUGGGAAACUGGGUCUAAUACCGGAUAGGACCACAUUUUGGAUGGUGUGGUGGAAAGUUUUUCGGUGUGGGAUGAGCUCGCGGCCUAUCAGCUUGUUGGUGGGGUAAUGGCCUACCAAGGCGUCGACGGGUAGCCGGCCUGAGAGGGUGUACGGCCACAUUGGGACUGAGAUACGGCCCAGACUCCUACGGGAGGCAGCAGUGGGGAAUAUUGCACAAUGGGCGCAAGCCUGAUGCAGCGACGCCGCGUGGGGGAUGACGGCCUUCGGGUUGUAAACUCCUUUCGCUAGGGACGAAGCGUUUUUGUGACGGUACCUGGAGAAGAAGCACCGGCUAACUACGUG
rnacentral:rRNA from 1 species